rnacentral:rRNA from 1 species
ACAUACGACCACAGCCGCCAGCCAAAUCCGGAUCCCGUCCGAUCUCCGCUAGAUAAUCUGGCGAGCGCUAGAUUAGUAGUUGAGUCGGUGACGAUCAGCGAAUACCUAGUGUUGUAUGUU